rnacentral:lncRNA from 1 species
UCCUCGGAUGACAUCUCUCUGCUUCACGUAUCUCAGUCCCACCAGGCUAGCUCUGGCGAGGAGACAGCCAGAUCAGGAGCCACUGCUGUCACAUCAGGAAAAAGUUCCAGUUUUGCUCUACCAUCCAACACCUAGCCAGACUCGAUUUGCAGCUCAGUUGACUGAAGCAAAAUACAACAGCUCAAAGAAUAAGCCUUAUACAACAUCUGCCUGAAGGGAUUUAUGACCCUGGAAGAGAUAGAUCAGAUCAGAAACAAAGAUCUGGGAGUAUGUGAUCUGUAUGAUGGACUUUGUUUAUGGGGACCUGAUUCAGUUUCUGCCAUGCAUGCACAUUUAUCAUGAGGAUUAUAUAGAUAACUGGUUGAUGAGAUCCUUCACGUGUCCCUCCUGCAUGGAGCCAGUUGAUGCAGCACUGCUUACAUCCUAUAAGAUUAAUUGAG